rnacentral:misc_RNA from 1 species
AUGAAGAACGUAGCGAAAUGCGAUACUUGGUGUGAAUUGCAGAAUCCCGUGAACCAUCGAGUCUUUGAACGCAAGUUGCGCCCGAAGCCAUUAGGCCGAGGGCACGCCUGCCUGGGCGUCACACGUCGUUGCCCCCCCAUCUACUCCUUCGGGAUUGCGGGGGGCGGAUGAUGGCCUCCCGUGCGCCUCGUCGCGCGGUUGGCAUAAAUACCAAGUCCUCGGCGACGCACGCCACGACAAUCGGUGGUUGCGAAACCUCGGUUGCCCGUCGUGUGCGGUCGUCGCGCAUCGAGGGCUCGAAAAAAUUGCCGGGCUCCGGCUCGGCUUUCAACGCGACCCCAGGUCAGGCGGGGUUACCCGCUGAAUUUAAGCAUAUCAAUAAGCGGAGGA